AUCUAUGGUCAUACCACCCUGAAUGCAUCUGAUCUCUGAUCUUGGCAGCUAAGCAGGGUUGGACUUUGUUAUUGUUAGUACUUGGAUGAGGGAGCCAAGAUU
rnacentral:rRNA from 1 species